CUUCAGUCUUUCUUCACCUUCGACCUGCGAUCUCUCCUCUUCCACUUUCGGUUUGAUCACUCACUGUCCUGUCGCUUAUUACUGUCGACAACCUCGCGGAGGAAUCAAAUGCUGGACUCUUCUACUCAACCUCAGCCAAAGGUGAAGCAUCCAAAGUGUUUUUUUGGUCCUGAGAAGUUCCAUGAAGACGAAGCAAGACCCAGUCCACGCAAAAAAAAAACAGAUGGUGUCUUUCUUCGUAACCCAGUGUUCAUUAGUUCCCAUGCAGCCAAAAGCAUUAAUCUUUUUAAGCAAAACUGGACUGGGUUUCAUGCACAUCCUUUGCAAAUUAGACAAAGCUUUCGUUUUCUUCUUAUUAUGUUUUCUUUUUUUCUGGGUGUAUCUGAUUGAUGAUUUUAGAAGUGUCGUACUGGAGCAGCAGCAGAAGCAGAAGCAAGAGGAAGAAUGGUUGGGAUCGAGUUUCAGACCCCAGAAUUACAUUCCUGGCCUUGUGAUGGGUUUCAUUCUUGGGUGGAUCGUGGAUUUGACAAAGCCUGCCAAAAACCCCGUUAGAAGGAGAAAUCUUUUGCGUGGAAAGCACAAGGAGGUGUCUUUGGUCUCGAGUGACAGCGAGCAAGAGCUUAAAAUGGUAGUAAUUUGAGUCUUCUAGUGAUCAGACAUUGCUGCAACAGCUUCUCUUUUGUUCCAGCUAAAAAAGCUAGUACUGUAGUCUCUUGCGGCUAAAGAUUAUCAAAGUCUUCGAUAUGUCAGGAAGUUGAUUAAGGAGAUUCUGAAAUCUUGGUCACCAAGCUUGAAAGAUAUAGAAUUGCUGCUAUAAAUUUUGAUUCAUUCAAAGAAUUUGCUGAAUUUUUUUUUGGGUCAUGUGUGGGUGUUUGGUUGGGAGGGGGGGCACGUCGUCCGGGGGCGCUACUUUUUCGUUUAUCAAUGAAGGAAAAGGAAAAUCGGAGAUAAUGGGGAAACUUAUUCUAGCUCGAAGAUUGGUCUAUACAUAGUCUGCUCUAAUUCGGUUGAAAUGCUUGUGGCGGGUUUUGGUUGUUAGGCAAGAUCUGAAGAUGGGACCAGGAAAAGUGGCAUCUCAAUGUGCUCCGAUCAGUUUCUUUUAAGACAGUGGGAGCAAAGCGGGCAGCCCAAGAUCGUCUGUACAUGCAAGAAUCAACAAGAAAUGUAAGCAGGAAUCAGCUAAGGGAAGCCGCUGAGAGCACUGGCCUUCCAACUUUUGUAGUCACUGAUGCUGGAAGAACUCAGGUAGCUGCUGGUUCAAGGACUGUGCUUGCGAUAGGACCUGGUAUGCUCAUCAAUUUUAUUUUUUAAAGCUCUCUUUGUUCCACGGCAUUCUAUUAUAAUGUACUCCAAAGGCUACUAAUUGGAUGCAACGGCCCGUUUUAUGCUGAGCAUAUGGCAUAGGAAGCAAUUGGGACCAAUUUCAAUACAAUUAAAAUUUCGAAAACCAGAGGGUGGAAAUGAUAAAAGUUAGACUCCAGAGAGUAGCCUGUUUUCUUCCUUUUUGUCACUCUGUAUAUUUGUUGCUGAUUCUGAGCAGGACCAAAGGCAUCAGUUGAUUCGAUUACCGGAAAAUUGCGCCUGCUUUGAUGUACCGAAGAACUGAGGAGUACACAACUAAUUCUGACUCGUUGGCUGAUUCGAUCAUCACUCCAUUAUGGUCUCGAGGUUCUGAUCCAUGUCGCAUUUGGCAUGGGUCAUGAUAAUACGAGUCUUGGCUAGCCUCCAUCAGUCCAUACUGUUGCAUUCUGCACAUUAUUUUGUGACGACCA